GCCGCGGUCGCAUAGUCUGGCCAUUGCGUAGGAUUGCUAAUCCUAUGUCCUUCGGGGCACGGGAGUUCAAAUCUCCCCCGCGGCG
rnacentral:tRNA from 1 species